CGUGGCGAAGCGGCGAACCUGGUUCGAUACUGACACUGAGGUGCGAAAGCGUUGGGGAAGCAAACAGGGAUUAGAUACCCCUUGGUAGUCCACGCCGUAAACGAUGAGUGCUAGAUGUUUCUGGUAUUGACCCCGGAGGUUCGUAGCUAACGCGUUAAGCACUCCGGCCUGGGGAGUACGGCCGCAAGGCUAAAACUCAAAGGAAAUUGACGGGGGCCCGCACAAGCGGUGGAGCAUGUGGUUCAAUUCGACGCAACGCGAAGAACCUUACCUGGGUUGGAACCCUCCAGAAGUCCGCAGAGACGUGGAUGUGCCCGCAAGGGAGCUGGAUGUCCAGGUGCUGCAUGGCUGUCGUCAGCUCGUGUCGUGAGAUGUUGGGUUAAGUCCCGCAACGAGCGCAACCCUUGUCGUUAGUUGCCAGCGGUUCGGCCGGGCACUCUAACGAGACUGCCGGUGUUAAACCGGAGGAAGGUGGGGAUGACGUCAAGUCCUCAUGGCCCUUAUGCCCAGGGCUACACACGUGCUACAAUGACCGGUACAAAGGGUUGCUAACCCGCGAGGGUACGCUAAUCCCAAAAAACCGGCCUCAGUUCAGAUUGGAGUCUGCAACUCGACUCCAUGAAGUCGGAAUCGCUAGUAAUCCCUGAUCAGCAGGCAGGGGUGAAUACGUUCCCGGGCCUUGUACACACCGCCCGUCACACCAUGGGAGUCAGUUGCUCCAGAAAUGGCUACGCUAACCCGCAAGGGGGGCAGGUCCUUAAGGAGUGACUGGUAACUGGGGUGAAGUCGUAACAAGUAAC
rnacentral:rRNA from 1 species